UCUCAUUGUUUAAAAACAAGAAAUGGACAGUGCCUAGUCAUUUUUUUCGUCAUCACAGCCAGCGAUCAUCAUUCUCAAAGCCAAUGUUUACUUCUGAAGAUCAGACUUCUGAAGUUGUUGAGUAUUGUGUGGUUGACAGUGUUUUGAUAUGUGGUUGGGUAAACGGUUAACAGCAUGUUAAUGUUUCAGAACAAGUUAACCCAAUUCAAAUUCGACACAAACCUUCAAAUAGUGAUAGCGAGGGAAGUGAUGUGGAGAGUCAGGGGUCAGCAGCAGAAGGCAAGGAGGAAGAGAAGUUAGAGAUGAGGAGUGGAGGGAGAGCGGAAAAGUAGGGGGAGAGGAACAUGUACAGAAGGAAGCGGAGGGGGAGGAAGAGCACACCUGAGAGAGGACCCUACGUUUCCAUGGACUGCAUCUGCCCGAAGUCCCAUCGGUCACCCUUGUACUACACAGACUGGGCCAUGUCAGAUAGCAGGGGUUUUGGAGUUGUUUUUAAAUGUGGUAGGAGUUAUUUUUCUUCAGAUCUGAUGUUUAAUACCAACCUGUCUGCCACCACAUCCAAUUCACUGAGUUGUUGUCAAAGUAGGCUGUUAUUUCUACAUUUUGUGUCAGGCUGUAAUAAAUCUUAUUGAGGGAGGCUAUCAACAUUUUGAAAUAGUCUCUGAAUAGUU